rnacentral:rRNA from 1 species
CCAAUAGCGUAUAUUAAAGUUGUUGCAGUUAAAAAGCUCGUAGUUGAAUUUCGGGAUCAAUAUAUCGGUCGUGCCAUCGGUACGUACUGGUAUGAUUGGUUUCUCCUUUCUGACGAACCAUGAUGUCAUUAAUUUGGUGUUAUGGGAAGUUAGGACUGUUACUUUGAAAAAAUUAGAGUGUUUAAAGCAGGCUUUAGCUUGAAUACAUUAGCAUGGAAUAAUGAAAUAGGACGUUUGAUUCUAUUUUGUUGGUUUCUAGGAUCGACGUAAUGAUUAAUA